AGAGUUUGAUCCUGGCUCAGAGUGAACGCUGGCGGCAUGGUUAAGACAUGCAAGUCGAACGAUAAGCAAAACUUCGGUUUUGUGGACAGUGGCGAACGGGUGCGUAACACGUGAGCAACCUGCCCUUGAGUAUAGAAUAGCUCGCCGAAAGGCGAAUUAAUACUGUAUGUGACCCUCUACCGCAUGGUAAAGUGGUUAAAGCUUGUAAUGGCGCUCAAGGAUGGGCUCGCGGCCUAUCAGCUUGUUGGUGAGGUAAAAGCUCACCAAGGCUAAGACGGGUAGCUGGUCUGAGAGGAUGAUCAGCCACACCGGGACUGAGACACGGCCCGGACACCUACGGGUGGCAGCAGUUUCGAAUCAUUCACAAUGGGCGAAAGCCUGAUGAUGCAAUGCCGCGUGGAGGAUGAAGGCCUUAGGGUCGUAAACUCCUGUCAUUAGGGAACAACAAAUAGGUUUAUAGCCUAUUCUGAGUUAACCUAAAGAGGAAGAGGUGGCUAACUCCGUGCCAGCAGCCGCGGUAAUACGGAGACCUCGAGCGUUACUCGGAUUUACUGGGCGUAAAGGGUGAGCAGGCGGCCAAGUGUGUCAGGUGUGAAAUCCCGGGGCUUAACCCCGGAACUGCGCCUGAAACUACUUGGCUAGAGUCUCGGAGAGGACAGUGGAAUUCUAGGUGUAGCGGUGAAAUGCGUAGAUAUCUAGAGGAACACCAGUGGCGAAGGCGACUGUCUGGACGAGUACUGACGCUCAAUCACGAAAGCGUGGGUAGCGAAAGGGAUUAGAUACCCCUGUAGUCCACGCCGUAAACGUUGUGCACUAAGUUUCGGAGGAUUCGACCCCUUCGGAGCUCUAGCUAACGCGUUAAGUGCACCGCCUGAGGACUACGGCCGCAAGGCUAAAACUCAAAGGAAUUGACGGGGGCCCGCACAAGCGGUGGAGCAUGUGGCUUAAUUCGAGGCAACGCGAAGAACCUUA
rnacentral:rRNA from 1 species